CAGCUAGUUUAAGAAGUUAGCAAAUAAACUACAAACUGGUAGGGAAUUCUGGGACACUUCCUGUUUCUUCUCCAUGUGGGUAAUUUACAUCAGCAUACUGGAGUUAGUUUGUAAAAUGGCUCCGGCUGUGCAACAGUGUGCUGAUGUCUGUCUGCUAUACUUGGUUUCGUUUGCAGCACCUGGUGACCACCAUCUAGACUGACUGAUCCAGCUCCAAGUCCCAGCACGCUGCUUCAUGGUUCAUGGUGCAAGCAAUCAAGUCCUGCAAGUUAAAAGUUCUGGAAUUCAAUACAGCCGCAGACAAAGCCGGUCCACCUGCUCCCGCCACUACAUAGCUCCCCUUAGUUCUCCUCGUCCCAGAGGAGACUGACUGUCCCGGAGGCGGUGAGGUGGACGUCUGUGGGGUUGUGGCGAUGAAAAGGGACAGCCGCUGGGGUGCCCUCAACCGUGGAUGGUGGCUGCGGGCUGUCCCCGGCAGACUGCUGGCUAUCAGAGCCAGCUGGCGAUGUGGUGGUUCUGGGCAAAGGUGAGCCUGAGGGUCCAGCCCCCAGGCUGUCACUGCGCCACCCCCGAUAUGGGGCAAGCCAGUCCCGAUGGAUCACCACCGUCCAAUCCCUAGGUGGCAACUGGACCCAAUAGGUCACAUCCCCAAGUCGUUCCAGGACCUGGCAAGGACCCACCCAAGCACUAUCCAGCUUGGGGCAGCAUCCCCACUUAUGGUGGGGGUUAUAAACCCACACAAACUCCCCGGCCGAAAAGUGCCAUCCCCUCACCCAAAGGUCAUAGUACCUGCAACUAGCCGCGGGCAAAGCAAUGAGUGGGGUCCUGGCAAUCUUGCAAGUGCCUUGCUUACUCAGGCCCUGGGGUAUCCUCUGCAGCAUUGGGUGGCCAGCUAAUCAGUAACUCAGCCAGAGUUCUGAUCUCCCAUCCGAGCAUCAACAAAGCAGGGGUGCAGCUGGUUGACUCCUGCAUGGCGGUACGCAGGAUAACAGGACCAGGGGCAGCUGUACAUCCCAGUCUUUCUAGCGGUGACAAUAGCCAACUGGGCGGAGAGGGUACGGUUAAACUGCUCCACAAGCUCGUCUCUCUGGGGGUGCAGCGGAGUGGUACAAGUCUUAUGUAUCCCCAGGCGAUGGCACAUCUCCGCAAAGACCCGGGUCCGAGUGAAGCUCCUGUGGUACUCUAAACCGGCAGAAAAAGCCUUCCAGCAGUACUUCGGCCGCUGUCUCUGCUUCUUGAUCUGGGGUUGUAUAUGCCUCUGGCCACUUUGUGAAGUAGUUCAUACCUACCACAAUGUAGCAGUUCCCCCGAUCAGAACACGGAAAGGAGCCCAGGAUAUCGACCCGAUCCAUCUCAUGGGCUCCCCAGCUGGAAACUGCUGCAGUGGAGCGUGGUCCCUUCCUUACAACACACUCAUCACAGUGCCUGUAGAAAUCCUCCACGUCCCGAUGGCAGCGGCCACAGUAGAACACCUGUUGGAGCUGCUUGAAUGUUUUGGCGGCCCCAAAGUGUCCUGAACCCGGCGUGCCAUGAUGAGCCUGUAGUACCGCCAUCUGUAGGGAGUGCGGUACAACGACCUGCCACCUCACCUCCCGUUUUGCUGGCUCCUUCCACCCUCGCUGUAAUACCCCGUCCCUGAUUGCCAGAUUGCCUUUGUCGUUGGCGACUGCAGGGCUAUAGUGUCCCACAGCGGCCUUCUCCAGCCAGUGCAGCAUUGGCUGCAGAUAAGCAUCCCAGUCCUGCUGCCGCCUUCACUCCACUGCUGUGAGCACCGUCAGCUCACUACAGAUCGCAGUGGUCGCCUGGCUCUCCUGAACCGUCUGGUGUUGUAAUCAGUCCCUACCCCCGCUCUGCUCGGUCACAAACCAGCUCUUCCUCUCGGAUCUCCCGCUUGGCAGUGGCUGCAGUCUUCCUCAGUACAGGGGUGACGGGACAGUGCACCCGCUUUGUUGUGUUGAGUCCCGGCUCUGUGCUGGAUUCGGUAAUUGAAGGGUUGUAGCUGCUUGAUUCAGUGUGCCACCUGCCCCUCUGGUUCCUGAAAUAACAACAGCCACUACAACGCAGCAUGAUCUGUGCGGAUGAGGAAGGACAGUUUCAUACCAGCCGUCUCUACUUGCUGCAACACCUCCCACAGGGAGCGUAGAGCCUCUGAGAAUAUUGGCCCGUGCACCAGUAGGUUGUCCAAGUACACCAGGUAGCACUGUGGUGGAAUCCCGUUCAGUGCCUUCUCCCUCAGCCGCUCAAAGGGAGCAGGCGCAUUACACAGUCCGAAUGGCAUGACUAGAAACUGCCACUGCCCCCAGCCGCAGGGGCAAGUUCGACCUGCCGGUUUUUAAGGGGGUGGCGGGCUCCGACAAACAGACACUGCCGCAAACCUACACGACCAAAGGGUCCAAAUCGACACCCCCUGGACCCUACCCACACUUGCAAACGGGAUCCAGCAAGCACCACUUGGACACCCGCCAGUGACCCAGCCAGCUCAAUUGGGAGCCACCGCCAAACGGCCUGCCUGCCGCAACACACAGGCGAACCCAUCCCUCCCAACGGCAGCCCAGGGGAACCAGCCAAACUCCGGGGCCGGCGUCGGCCGGCGUCGGCCCCACCGGGUGAUGUCAGCCUAGCCUGGGCCUGGCCGAACAAUCAACCCCCACUCAGUCCAGCCCAGCCACCGCCAUUGCGCAAGAGAGGAUGCCGCAACAAUUUUGUUCCCAGUCCUGAAAUCAUGCUGAAAUCAGCAGGCUGAAAUCACCUGGUGCAGCACAACAUCAAUAUGGGGGAGGCCACAUAUAUCAAGCUGCAGCCUUGUCGCCUACUCCUGACCAGACAGGAGUCUGCCAAGAAGGUGCUGAGAGAGAUGCUAGAAGCAGGCCUGAUUGAGCCCCUGGACAGCCCCUGGACUUCGUCAAUUGUGAUGGUCCCCAAAAAGGAUGGAGAGUGGUGCUUCUGCGCUGACGACAGACGGUUGAAUGAGGUGAUUAAGAAGGAUUCAUACCCCCUCACCCGCAGUGAUGAGUCCCUGGACCUGGUAGCAGGGUCCACUUGGUUAUCAUCACUGGAUCUCUAGAGCGGCAACUGGUAAGUAGCCCUUGCACCAGCAGUAAGACCCAAGACUGCCUAUUUGACAGGCAGGGGACUGGCAGUUCAGAGUGAUGCCAUUCGAACUGUGCAACGCCCCAGUGCCCUGCUGGUGUAUGGAGUGUCGUUCCAGACCGCCCUUGACUCCCUGUGGAGAGUGCUACAGCCAGACCACGGCUGGACUCAAACUGCACCCUGACAAGUGGCGCUUCAUGCAACGAAAGGGAAUAAGCACAGAGCCGGACAAGGUGACCGCCGUUGGGGAGUGGCCCAUCCCCACCGACCAACGUCGACUCCGAGGGUUUCUGGGUCUUGCGUCCUAGACUUCGCCAGCAUCACUGCUCCCCUGCACCAACUACUGUGAAAGGGAUAACCGUUUGAAUGGAUGGAGGAAUGGCAGGCUGCUUUCAACCCACACUCCGGGAGGCGCUGACACAGUCCUCGGUGCUCUCCCUCCUGGACCCCAGCCUACCAUUCCUCCUGGACAUGGAUGCCAGCAAUAAAGAGAUCAUAGCUGCAUUGUCCCAACAAGGGUCCGACGGCGAGAGGGUCAUGGCUAAUACAGUGGGUCCGUCAACAAGGCGGAGCGGCAGUACUGCAUGACUUGGCGGGAGCUACUAGCAGCGGUCUCGACCUGCAGACCCGCGCUCUUAACAUUGGGCUGAGAUGGUGUUUGGCCGGCCAUCAGACCCCUCCGCUAAACCACCCGAACCAGAAUAUGCCAGGUUAUUGCAGGACUGCCUGGAGGUGGCCCACAGCUUUGCCAAGAAUCCGUUGCAUGCUGUGGGCUGCCGGCAGAAAAGGAAUUACGACACCAGGGCACGGGCAGGCACUUCACAGCAGGGGAGUGUAUAGCCCCCAAUGGAAGCGGGGUCACUGCCCCAAACUGGACAGUCACUGGCUAGGACCUUGCCAGGUCUUAAGGGGCACUCACACCGAGCGCGAUGCGCAUGCCACCUCCUUGCGCGUCGCUCUGUGUCACCGCAGACCACUGUUCACACUGAAGGCAGCAAGGGGAAAGUCAGUGGGCGGUCUGUUGUUACGUCACGGCUGUAUGUACAGUGACUUUUGGUUGCCAAGCAACAAACAGUAAAUGCCAGCGGGAAGGGAAAACUUUUUUUAUAUUUAUAUUAGGAGGCUGUGUGGUCCAGUGGUUAAAGAAAAGGGCUUGUAACCAAGAGGUCCCCGGUUCAAAUCCCACCUCAGUCACUGACUCAUUGUGUGACCCUGAGCAAGUUACUUAACCUCCUUGUGCUCCAUCUUUCGGGUGAGACAUAGUUGUAAGUGACUCUGCAACUGAUGCAUAGUUCACACACCCUAGUCUCUGUAAGUCGUCUUGGAUAAAUAUGUCUGCUAAAUAAACAAAUAAUAUAGAAAAUACAAAGCUAAAUAUUUCAAGUAAUGAGGAACGAAACAUUAUAAUUUUUUCACCAAUAAUCAGUGGUACUCAGAUAAGCGCCUUUGACAAUCUGAUAAUUAAUUUGCAAUCAUGAACAGCAAUGAAAAAAAGAUAAUUGUGAGUGCUCCGCUCUACCGCAGAAAGAAAAUAAAAUACACAAACAUUGUGGGUCCAUGACAUUCUCAAAGGAGAAAGUACGGCGAAUACCAUCAGCUGAUACAGGAGCUCCGAUUUGAUGAGGAUAGAUUCCAGAUCUACUUUCGGCUUGAUCAUGCCCAGUUCCAUUGCCUCCCAAGUAAAACUGGUCCAAUCAUUACAAGAAUGCAGACUAAUUAUAUAGAAGCUAUCAGCCCAGCAGAGCGCUGCGCAAUAUGCCUCAGGUGAGUUUCUGAUAAUUCUAUGAAAUCAAUCAAUCAAUCAAUCUAUCUGUGUGGUCCAGUGGUUAAAGAAAAGGGCUUGUAACCAGAAGGUCCCUGGUUCAAAUCCCACCUCAGCCACUGACUCAUUGUGUAACCCUGAGCAAGUCACUUAACCUCCUUGUGCUCCGUCUUUCAGGUGAGACGUAAUUGUAAGUGACUCUGCAGCUGAUGCAUAGUUCACACACCCAAGUCUCUGUAAGUCGCCUAUCUGCUAAAUAAACAAAUAAUAAUAAUAUCUAUCUGACCUUGUACAAAUAUAUUUAAAAAUAUUUCAUUUGUAACUAUAAUAAUUAAAAAUGUGUAAUAUUAUCUGACAUUGCUCAAAAUCGUUCACAAAGUAAAUAUUGGAAAAUACUGAAAACAUUUUUUACAAAGUAAAAAUAUUUGAAAAUACUUAGAUAUGAGUAAAAUAGGAAACACAUUUUAAAUUGCUCUGUUAAUGGCAGCAGGUUUAAUAGUUACAAGAACAGGGGUUAACCCGCUUUGAAUUCAGGAUAACAAUUAGGCUUACAUAGUGUUACAGAGAAAUAUUUGAAAAUAUUUAAACUAUUUUGUCCCAGGUCUGCUAUACACACACACACACACACACACACACACACACACACACACACACACACACACACACACACACACACAAACUUACCAAAA